GACGAACGCUGGCGGCGUGCUUAACACAUGCAAGUCGAACGGAAAGGCCCUGCUUUUGUGGGGUGCUCGAGUGGCGAACGGGUGAGUAACACGUGAGUAACCUGCCCUUGACUUUGGGAUAACCUCAGGAAACUGGGGCUAAUACCGGAUAGGAGCUCCUGCUGCAUGGUGGGGGUUGGAAAGUUUCGGCGGUUGGGGAUGGACUCGCGGCUUAUCAGCUUGUUGGUGGGGUAGUGGCUUACCAAGGCUUUGACGGGUAGCCGGCCUGAGAGGGUGACCGGCCACAUUGGGACUGAGAUACGGCCCAGACUCCUACGGGAGGCAGCAGUGGGGAAUAUUGCACAAUGGGCGGAAGCCUGAUGCAGCAACGCCGCGUGCGGGAUGACGGCCUUCGGGUUGUAAACCGCUUUCGCCUGUGACGAAGCGUGAGUGACGGUAAUGGGUAAAGAAGCACCGGCUAACUACGUGCCAGCAGCCGCGGUGAUACGUAGGGUGCGAGCGUUGUCCGGAUUUAUUGGGCGUAAAGGGCUCGUAGGUGGUUGAUCGCGUCGGAAGUGUAAUCUUGGGGCUUAACCCUGAGCGUGCUUUCGAUACGGGUUGACUUGAGGAAGGUAGGGGAGAAUGGAAUUCCUGGUGGAGCGGUGGAAUGCGCAGAUAUCAGGGGGAACACCAGUGGCGAAGGCGGUUCUCUGGGCCUUUCCUGACGCUGAGGAGCGAAAGCGUGGGGAGCGAACAGGCUUAGAUACCCUGGUAGUCCACGCUGUAAACGGUGGGUACUAGGUGUGGGGUCCAUUCCACGGGUUCCGUGCCGUAGCUAACGCUUUAAGUACCCCGCCUGGGGAGUACGGCCGCAAGGCUAAAACUCAAAGGAAUUGACGGGGCCCCGCACAAGCGGCGGAGCAUGCGGAUUAAUUCGAUGCAACGCGUAGAACCUUACCUGGGUUUGACAUGGAUCGGGAGUGCUCAGAGAUGGGUGUGCCUCUUUUGGGGUCGGUUCACAGGUGGUGCAUGGCUGUCGUCAGCUCGUGUCGUGAGAUGUUGGGUUAAGUCCCGCAACGAGCGCAACCCUUGUUCACUGUUGCCAGCACGCUAUGGUGGGGACUCAGUGGAGACCGCCGGGGUCAACUCGGAGGAAGGUGGGGAUGACGUCAAGUCAUCAUGCCCCUUAUGUCCAGGGCUUCACGCAUGCUACAAUGGCUGGUACAGAGAGUGGCGAGCCUGUGAGGGUGAGCGAAUCUCGGAAAGCCGGUCUCAGUUCGGAUUGGGGUCUGCAACUCGACCUCAUGAAGUCGGAGUCGCUAGUAAUCGCAGAUCAGCAACGCUGCGGUGAAUACGUUCCCGGGGCU
rnacentral:rRNA from 1 species